AUUGAACGCUGGCGGCAGGCCUAACACAUGCAAGUCGAGCGGAUGAAGGGAGCUUGCUCCUGGAUUCAGCGGCGGACGGGUGAGUAAUGCCUAGGAAUCUGCCUGGUAGUGGGGGAUAACGUCCGGUAACGGGCGCUAAUACAGCAUACGUCCUGAGGGAGAAAGUGGGGGAUCUUCGGACCUCACGCUAUCAGAUGAGCCUAGGUCGGAUUAGCUAGUUGGUGGGGUAAAGGCCUACCAAGGCGACGAUCCGUAACUGGUCUGAGAGGAUGAUCAGUCACACUGGAACUGAGACACGGUCCAGACUCCUACGGGAGGCAGCAGUGGGGAAUAUUGGACAAUGGGCGAAAGCCUGAUCCAGCCAUGCCGCGUGUGCGAAGAAGGUCUUCGGAUUGUAAAGCACUUUAAGUUGGGAGGAAGGGCAGUAAGUUAAUACCUUGCUGUUUUGACGGUACCAACAGAAUAAGCACCGGCUAACUUCGUG
rnacentral:rRNA from 1 species